UUGACCAAUAAAGAAGACGAAAAGUAUUAAUAGAAUUAGCUUUUAACAUUUGAAGGUGAUUUUUAGUAAAUUUUGUUUAGUGAAUACGUGAUAAUGGGUAGAGGAAAGCGGUUGACUAGGGCGGAAUCAAAGAUUAUACAAACAUUACAAGACGAAGGGCGGCCAAGAGCACGAGCAAACCAUCUUAAGCGCGGCAAAUUACAGAAAAAACCGCCUCUCACAGAAAAGCACAAACUGGCCAGAAUGGCUUCUGCAGAAAAUCACUUGCGUUGCGCCGUGUAUUUUUUACAGACGGAGCCGACGGUUUCAAUUAUUAUUUCCAUGAUUUAAGGAAGGAAGAGAGAGUGUUAAGCAAAAACCAGUUUGGUGGCGGAAGUGUAAUGGUUUCGACUGCUAUUGGAUAUAAUGGGCGGCCAACUAUUUGGUUUUUAAGUGGGAAAAUAGACAGCUCCCGCAGCAACAUACGGAUGUCCUCGAUUUUAAGACUGGAGGCAGCUGACCCAAAUCGUUUAUGCUGAAUCAAAGCAAUUUGAAGACGUAAACGAAUUAAAAAAAAAGGCUAUUAUUUCUGCAUGGGACUAAAUUUCGAGGAAAUAUAUAUGAAAAUUGUUUAAUCAAGGUAAACAAAUGGUAGAAAUUAUAAAAAAGAAAGGAGGCUCAAUAAAAUAUUAAAAUAUCGUG